rnacentral:rRNA from 1 species
UGUGUCCUACGGGGGGCAGCAGUGAGGAAUAUUGGUCAAUGGCCGAGAGGCUGAACCAGCCAAGUCGCGUGAGGGAUGACGGCCCUACGGGUUGUAAACCUCUUUUGUCGGGGAGCAAGACCCGCCUCGUGCAGGCGGAGCGAGAGUACCCGAAGAAAAAGCAUCGGCUAACUCCGUGCCAGCAGCCGCGGUAAUACGGAGGAUGCGAGCGUUAUCCGGAUUUAUUGGGUUUAAAGGGUGCGCAGGCGGGGGAUUAAGUCAGCGGUAAAAUGUCGGGGGUCAACCC